rnacentral:rRNA from 1 species
GACGAACGCUGGCGGCGUGCUUAAUACAUGCAAGUCGAGCGAGGUUACUGUUUUGGAUCCCUUCGGGGUGAAGAAGCUUUAACCUAGCGGCGGACGGGUGAGUAACGCGUGGGUAACCUACCCCAAAGUCCGGGAUAACAGCGGGAAACCGCUGCUAAUACCGGAUGCCUUUACCUUGGGGCAUCUUGAGGUAAAGAAAGGUAACGCUUUGGGAUGGGCCCGCGUCCCAUUAGCUAGUUGGUGAGGUAACGGCUCACCAAGGCGACGAUGGGUAGCCGGCCUGAGAGGGUGGACGGCCACACUGGGACUGAGACACGGCCCAGACUCCUACGGGAGGCAGCAGCAGGGAAUCUUGGGCAAUGGGCGAAAGCCUGACCCAGCGACGCCGCGUUGGGGAUGAAGCCCUUCGGGGCGUAAACCCAUGUUGUAGGGGACGAAGAAAGUGACGGUACCCUACGAGAAAGCCCCGGCCAACUACGUG